GAUGAACGCUGGCGGCGUGCCUAAUACAUGCAAGUCGAGCGAACAGACGAGGAGCUUGCUCCUCUGACGUUAGCGGCGGACGGGUGAGUAAAACGUGGAUAACCUACCUAUAAGACUGGGAUAACUUCGGGAAACCGGAGCUAAUACCGGAUAAUAUAUUGAACCGCAUGGUUCAAUAGUGAAAGACGGUUUUGCUGUCACUUAUAGAUGGAUCCGCGCCGCAUUAGCUAGUUGGUAAGGUAACGGCUUACCAAGGCGACGAUGCGUAGCCGACCUGAGAGGGUGAUCGGCCACACUGGAACUGAGACACGGUCCAGACUCCUACGGGAGGCAGCAGUAGGGAAUCUUCCGCAAUGGGCGAAAGCCUGACGGAGCAACGCCGCGUGAGUGAUGAAGGUCUUCGGAUCGUAAAACGCUGUUAUUAGGGAAGAACAAAUGUGUAAGUAACUAUGCACGUCUUGACGGUACCUAAUCAGAAAGCCACGGCUAACUACGUG
rnacentral:rRNA from 1 species